CAGCUCUCCGCUCUCAGUGAUGCCUCAGGCUCUCUCAGAUUUGUAAGUGGCAUCCAUACUGAGCGGUUCUGUUCUUUUCUGAGUAAUGUUUCAGGUUCUUUGUGCUUUGAUAUAGAGCAGCUCUUCUCUUUGUUGAGUGAUGCCUCAGGUUCUUUGUGCUUUAGAAGUGGCAGCUGCAUAGAACUGCUCUGUUCCUUGCUGACUGAUGCCUCAGGUUCUUUGCGCUUUAGGAGUGGCAGCCGCAUGGAACUGCUGUGUUCCUUGCUGACUGAUGCCUCAGGUUCCUUGUGCUUUAGGAGUGGCAGUCGCAUGGAACUGCUCUGUUCCUUGCCGAGUGAUGCCUCAGGUCCAUAGUCCUUUGGAAGUGGCAGCCGUUCUGAGCAGUUCUGCUCUUUGGUGAGUGAUGCCUCCGGUUCUUUGGGCUUUGGAAGUGGCAGACGUAACCGAAUAAUGUUCCCUGCUUGAUGUUCAUAAUGAUUUAAAAAUUAUUAAGUGCCCGCUGAGGGUUUAAACUAACAGACACAGACAAAGAGAGGGGGAGCCAGAGGAGAAGCAAACAACAUACACCUCUAACAAGUGGAAAAUCACAUACUCACCA
rnacentral:lncRNA from 1 species